GCCAAUAUGGUGUAAUGGUCUGAGCACUAGACUCCGACUCCAGAGACCAGGGUUCAAAUCCCAGCUCAGUCA